rnacentral:rRNA from 1 species
UUGAACGCUGGCGGCAGGCUUAACACAUGCAAGUCGAGCGGCAGCGCGGGGCAACCUGGCGGCGAGCGGCGGACGGGUGAGUAACGCGUAGGAAUCUACCCAGUAGCGGGGGAUAGCCCGGGGAAACUCGGAUUAAUACCGCAUACGCCCCAAGGGGAAAAGCAGGGGAUCUUCGGACCUUGCACUAUUGGCAGAGCCUGCGUUGGAUUAGCUAGUUGGUAGGGUAAAGGCCUACCAAGGCGACGAUCCUUAACUGGUCUGAGAGGAUGAUCAGUCACACCGGAACUGAGACACGGUCCGGACUCCUACGGGAGGCAGCAGUGGGGAAUAUUGGACAAUGGGGGCAACCCUGAUCCAGCCAUGCCGCGUGUGUGAAGAAGGCCUUCGGGUUGUAAAGCACUUUAAGUGGGGAGGAGGCUACUGAGACUAAUACUCUUGGAUAGUGGACGUUACUCGCAGAAUAAGCACCGGCUAACUCUGUGCCAGCCGCCGCCGUAACAC